GUAAAACGAGGGGCGUUUCCUCUUUGCGCCAGAAGCCAUGUGCACGAAAAACGACAUGUGUCGGGCCGAUGGUUUGCUGUCUGUCUGUAUUUUGAUUCAGGUGUUUGGGACCCUUGAGCCUCUUCAGAGAUGCUGUUGCGUAUGACGAUGAGGUAUUUACUUCAUGAGAGCUCAAACUUGUCCAAGAAGACCAUUCUUAAGGCACCUGACUCUGAAGUGGACCUGUACGUUUUCUUCCGUUUUGAACAUGUGCGAUGGAGGAUACCAGAAUGAGAGGUCACCAGACGCCAAACCAAAAAGACUUUGGUAAACUGGUAAAAUUCCUGGAUAGAUCAAACAUAAGAUUAUGGGGAAAAAUACAGAAAGUUCCUGCAGCAAGCUUUUGAGAGAAUACAUAUUUGAAUUUCUUACCACAUUUUUUGGCUGCUUGGAUGCAGACAUUUUCAGCAGAGACGUGGCCACCUGUUAUGUUUAUUGUUAAUGCAUCCUUUGUGGGAGGAAAGAAGUAGAGAUGUACUUGCAAACUGGGACCAGUGCUUGAACUGGACCUCUGGCUUCCUCCACGAUCUCUGAAUAUCAGUGGAGUAAACUCCUCCUCACUGAGAUCCAUGGAUGCUUCUAAGAAUUUAAAUAAUUCAAUAUCGUUAAUUUUUUUCAUUGCAGUUUUAACCAGUUCUCACCAUUUAGUAAAGAUUAACCUAUUUAUUUUUUUAUGUGAAUACAGGAUUUUUCAUAACUUCUGUUACUUAGCUUUGUCCCAGUUCAUGUACAGAGACAUCCGAUCGAAUGAAGCUUAAGAGGUGCUGCAAAAAGGAAUGGAGGAAACUGCCCAAAAACAGGUGUGCUAAGCUUGUGUCAUUGUAUUCAAUAAGACUUAAGGGUGUAAUUGCUGCCAAAGGUGCAUCAACAAAGUAUUGAGCAAAGGCUGUGAAUACUUAUAAACUUGUUUUUUUUAUUAUUAUUUUUAAUAAAUUUGCUAAAUUAAAAAUAACACAACUUUUCACUUA